CGCGGCCCCACGGUUCGCGGGGACAGCGAAGCGCAGCCCUGCAGACGGGCAGCGUCUGAGUCUGACAGGAACCUCGGGGAAGCUGAGGGAACAGAUGGCGUUUCCAAGUGCUACACGCGAGGUUUUCGCUUGGGAAAGGCAAAUAUUGAGCGCUGCGCCACAAACACGCUAUUGGGAGAGCGGCACGCAGAGAUGCUCCUUCGCUUCCCCUUCAAACAAGUGUGGUGGUCGCGAUGCAGUUCCCGAGGCAGCGUGGUCCCGGUGAAGGUGAUGCCUGGCACCGUGACAGGUCACAAACACUGAGGGCACUGUGUUAUCCCAGCCUCUGUUUUGCAGUACACGCAGCUGAAACGGAUUUGAGAAGUGCACAGCACGAGGCUGGCAGAUCAACACCUACUUGAGGAGUAGGGUGAGUGCUGCUCUCCAUGAGGCUCUGGCAACAGGAGCUACAGGACCUGAGGCACCCCAAGUGCAUCCAGGGAGCUGCUGUAAGGCUGGGGCUGUGUCAGCUGCAGUGAGUCAAUAACGAGCACACACAGGACUGUACAGGAAGGCUGGACACAACAGGAUCUGGCCUGGAAACUGCCCCAGUGAAGUGACUCAGGGACACAGUUCAAGACAAACCAUAGACCACAGCACACCUGGGAACCUGCUCCAGGGAUCUAUUAGGGAAAGACAUUCCCUAUCAACUAAGAGGCAAACUGGGGGGGGAAGGUCCUACUGAACUGCAACAAAACUUCAGAAGACAAUCCUCAGCCCACAUAUCUUUGUUUAAAUCCUCCUCCUACUCAGGAGCAAUUAAAAUAAAAAACU